UAAUACGGAGGGUGCAAGCGUUGCUCGGAAUUACUGGGCGUAAAGCGUACGCAGGCUGUUCACUAAGUCGGGUGUGAAAUCCCGGGGCUCAACCCCGGAAUUGCACCCGAAACUGGUGAGCUUGAGUGCGGGAGAGGGAAGCGGAAUUCCUGGUGUAGAGGUGAAAUUCGUAGAUAUCAGGAGGAACACCGGUGGCGAAAGCGGCUUCCUGGCCCGACACUGACGCUCAUGUACGAAAGCGUGGGGAGCAAACAGGA
rnacentral:rRNA from 1 species